AUGGAGGUGUUUAAGGUCACGUGUGCGCGGAUGGAUGUGUUUAAGGUCACGUAUGCGCGGAUGGAGGUGUUUGAGGUCACGUGUGCGCGGAUGGAUGUGUUUGAGGUCACGUGUGCGCGGAUGGAUGUGUUUGAGGUCACGUGUGCGCGGAUGGAGGUGUUUAAGGUCACGUGUGCGCGGAUGGAGGUGUUUAAGGUCACGUGUGCGCGGAUGGAGGUGUUUAAGGUCACGUGUGCGCGGAUGGAGGUGUUUAAGGUCACGUGUGCGCGGAUGGAGGUGUUUAAGGUCACGUGUGCGCGGAUGGAGGUGUUUUAAGGUCAGGUGUGCGCUGAUGGAGGUGUUUUAAGGUCAGGUGUGCGCUGAUGGAGGUGUUUUAAGGUCACGUGUGCGCGGAUGGAGGUGUUUAUGGUCACGUGUGCGCGGAUGGAGGUUGUGUGAUCUGGUUUGUAGCAGAAUGAUGUUUACUCUGGAAGUGUGGUGGUUGAAUCGGGGUUUUCUGUCCUAACUGAUUCUAGAGGAAGUAGAAAGUCUGAUGAGGAAGUGUUUGAGCGUAAUUUAGCCACAACUGUCACCUGUCAGAACCAGGAUUUUCCCUCUCAUGAACAAACUGACCAGAAAGUGAGAACUGAGAGGUGUGUGUGUGGUUUGUGUGUGAGCGCGUGUGUGUGUGUGUGUGAGUGAGCGCACACACGUGUGUGCUUGAAUGUGUGACUGACUGAGUGAGUGUUUGAGUGUGUGAUUGAGCGCACGCAUGUGCUUGAAUGUGUGUGUGUGUGUGUGUGUGACUGAGUGAGCGAGCGAGCGCGCUUGAGAGUGUGUGUGUGUGUGAGUGUGUGUGAGAGUGACUGAGUGAGCGUGUGCGUAAGUUGUGCGUGCGUGUGUGUGUGUGUGUGUGUGUGCGUGUGCGCUAUUUCCCCAUUUUACCUUCAGUAGGAACCCCCCUGUAGCGUAACAAUAUUAAGAAUGAAGCGUGUUCUUGAUCCGCAAUGCUUCAUUAUAUUUGUGUGUCACAGAUGGAUAUGACGUGUGUUACAGAAGAACAGCACAUGACUGAGAUGUUCUG